UACGUAGGGGGCAAGCGUUGUCCGGAAUCAUUGGGCGUAAAGAGCGUGUAGGCGGCCAGAAAGGUCCGCUGUGAAAACUCGGAGGCUACAUCUUCGAGCUGUCGGUGGAAACUUUCUGGCUAGAGUCCGGAAGAGGAGAAUGGAAUUCCUGGUGUAGCGGUGAAAUGCGCAGAUAUCAGGAAGAACACCCGUGGCGAAGGCGGUUCUCUGGGACGGUACUGACGCUGAGACGCGAAAGCGUGGGGAGCGAACAGG
rnacentral:rRNA from 1 species